rnacentral:rRNA from 1 species
AGUGAACGCUGGCGGUAGGCCUAACACAUGCAAGUCGAACGGCAGCACAGUAAGAGCUUGCUCUUACGGGUGGCGAGUGGCGGACGGGUGAGGAAUACAUCGGAAUCUACUUUUUCGUGGGGGAUAACGUAGGGAAACUUACGCUAAUACCGCAUACGACCUACGGGUGAAAGCAGGGGAUCUUCGGACCUUGCGCGAUUGAAUGAGCCGAUGUCGGAUUAGCUAGUUGGCGGGGUAAAGGCCCACCGAGGCGACGAUCCGUAGCUGGUCUGAGAGGAUGAUCAGCCACACUGGAACUGAGACACGGUCCAGACUCCUACGGGAGGCAGCAGUGGGGAAUAUUGGACAAUGGGCGCAAGCGUGAUCCAGCCAUACCGCGUGGGUGAAGAAGGCCUUCGGGUUGUAAAGCCCUUUUGUUGGGAAAGAAAAGCAGCAGGUUAAUACCCCGCUGUUCUGACGGUACCCAAAGAAUAAGCACCGGCUAACUUCGUG